GCGGCACCUGGUCGACGAGGGUGGUGACCGCCAUGCUCUCGGCGCGGAACGGCUCGCCGGUGGCGUAGACCCGCUGGAUCAUGUCGAGCAGGCCGCUC
rnacentral:tRNA from 1 species